UCCGACUUAGCUCAGUUGGUAGAGCAACGGACUGUUAAUCCGUGGGUCGCUGGUUCGAGCCCAGCAGUCGGAGCCA
rnacentral:tRNA from 1 species